rnacentral:rRNA from 1 species
UACGUAGGGUGCGAGCGUUAAUCGGAAUUACUGGGCGUAAAGCGUGCGCAGGCGGUUUGGUAAGACAGGCGUGAAAUCCCCGGGCGUCAACCUGGGAACGUAGCGUUUGUUGACUGUGGGACGUUGAGUGUGGCAGAGGGGGGUGGGAAUUCCACGUGUAGCAGUGAAAUAGCGUAGAUAUGCGGAGGAACACCGAUGGCGAAGGCAAUCCCUCGGGCGUGUACUGACGCUCAUGCACG